rnacentral:rRNA from 1 species
CCCGCACAAGCGGUGAGCAUGUGGUUAAUUCGACGCAACGCGAAGAACCUUACCAGGGCUUGACAUCCCCUGACCGCGUAUGAAAGUACGUUUUCACCCUCGGGUGACAGGGAGACAGGUGGUGCAUGGUUGUCGUCAGCUCGUGUCGUGAGAUGUUGGGUUAAGUCCCGCAACGAGCGCAACCCUCGCCUUUAGUUGCCAGCAUUCAGUUGGGCACUCUAGAGGGACUGCCGGUGUCAAACCGGAGGAAGGUGGGAUGACGUCAAGUCCUCAUGGCCUUUAUGUCUAGGGCUACACACGUACUACAAUGGCCGGUACAAAGGGCAGCCACUCAGCGAUGAGGCGCUAAUCCCAUAAAGCCGGUCUCAGUCCGGAUCGCAGUCUGCAACUCGACUGCGUGAAGUUGGAAUCGCUAGUAAUCGUAGAUCAGCAUGCUACGGUGAAUACGUUCCCGGGCCUU